UCUGCCCAUCAUAGGCGUUGUCAUGGUGACUUGUGUUUCUGUGAUGUCAAGGUGUGGCAAAUACCAAAUAGUCCAUCAUAGGCGUUGUCAUGGUGACCCAUGUUACCAUGAUGUCAAGAGUGGACAAACAUG